rnacentral:SRP_RNA from 1 species
GCCGGGCGCGGUGGCUCAAGCCUGUAAUCCCAGCACUUUGGGAGGCCGAGACGGGCGGAUCACGAGGUCAGGAGAUCGAGGCCAUCCUGGCUAACACGGUGAAACCCCGUCUCUACUAAAAAGUCAAGAGAUGGGGUUUCACCGUGUUAGCCAGGAUGGUCUCGAUCUCCUGACCUCGUGAUCCGCCCGUCUCGG